CUUUCGAUGGCGUAAAACAUUCUGAAAUCAGCAAGUAGAAGAGAACUGUUUUUAAUCAGACAUGGCUACAAAUGUAGUUUAAUUGUUACGUUCGCUUAUUAUGACUGAUGUAAAAGAAUGAAGAAAAUAAAUAACGCGAUUUUUUGACUUCCGAUGGCGUAAAACAUUUUGAAAUCAGCAAGUAGAAGAAGACUGUUUUUAAUCAGACAUGACUACAAAUGUAGUUCGAUUGUUACGUUCGCUUAUUAUGACUGAUAUAAAAGAAUGAAGAAAAUAAAUAACGCGAUUUUUUGACUUCCGAU